AUGAUGCUUUCUGAUUAUGGGUCUUGGUCUAAUGAGUCUUGGAGUUGGUGUGUCAUUUGGAGGAGACCGCUUUUGACUUGAGAGGAGGAUUCAAUGCUCAGUUGUAUGAUUUGAUCAAUCACCAUCAUUACAGACGAGAUGUUCCUCACAAAUGGAUGUGGGUUUUAGAUACUUUUGGAACUUAUAUUGUUAAAUCAGCUUAUUUGGCUCAUGUGGAUACGGGUCAAUUAGGACAAUCUUCUUAACAAGUGCUAGAGAGAUCAUGCCACAAAGGAGGAACUCCUUAAAAGGAAUGUUGUCAAUGAAGAAGAGUCUAAGUGUAUUUUUGCAGGGUUCAUCUUGAGUAGUUGAUCAUCCUCUUGUGUAUUAGUCUGAAAAUGUUUUUAUUUUCGGCUUAA